UUAAAUUAUAUUAAUUAAAGUUUAUGGGACUAAAUAUAUAGAAGUAGAGUUAUAUUUUAUUUACUGUAAUUUUAUUUGCACACAAAAAGACACAAUAGUUUACUGGUCCAAUAGGUCUAAUUACUUUCACCUGCGUCACACUGAGGCCUACACGAGAGCGUUCCCAUAUGCCAUGUGUUAUCUUUCCCGGUACAAUAUUUUAUUGUUUUUAUUUACUUAUUUAUUUAUAACCUUUCACAAAAAGCAACACGUAGUAUUUAUUUUAUUUGUUUAUAUUUGACGUAUACGAGGACAUUCUGCAGCAGUCGUGAAUUCUGUUUGUUUGUGUUUGAAUUGAAGCUGACAAACAAACAAAAAAUGGACUUAUCCGCUAUCGCACCUCUCCUUUCCGGAAUAUACUACCUGCACAGCCGGAGUCGGGAAACCUCUGUCUCUGUCCUCCCGGAUCCCCUCGUGAUUCAACACCGUUUCCUUACCUCAGUGUCCUCUGGGAGUUACAUCUUGGUUUUCUGCAUCCUGUUAGCCUGAGGGAGUGUGGAGCCUCUGGCUGAUUAGAGGAAACUGCAUAUCAAAUUACACGCCAGGAUCACCUCCUCCGUCUUUGCUGCUUUUUCUUAACAGAAGCUCCUCAUCACCUGUGUUGCCCAAUUCACCUACAACUCCACCAACUAAUACUGGCCAUCAAUACCACCUUCAUGAAUAGUGGAUGGAGCAGUCCAUGAGGAGGGCAGCCACACCUGGUGAAGAAACACAGGGGCAGGAAAUGGACCAUUAGUUCUGCUGACAGCAUUGAGACCCCCCACUGAGCUCACGAUAUUACCUUAUGUUGGGUUGUCCCAGUCCAUGGUGCUUUGAGGAAACCCAGGAGACGAGUAAUAGAGAGGGCAGAGUUUUGCCAGCCAAAGCACUGGGGUCCAGGCAGACGUCACUCUGGAUCACCUGACUGACCUGAAGCCCUUUAAGGCACACCACUGUGGAGGGAUCAAGCAGGGGCCAGCACAGCGACUAAAUAAGAUCACUGACCUGGUAUAGACGCCAUUCUUUCGGCAGAAGGAGUUUUUCACAGACAGCCGUCUGUUGUUUAGCUCCAGAGCUGGGAAACGUCCCUCAUCCAAGCUGACCAUGUCCCCGUGGGUCAAGGCAUUGCAGUUGUUUCCUGGACACAGGAUAAAGACCAGCAGUAGAAUGAAGAUGAGCCCGACCAAAGCCACCACCACCAGGAACCACCACUCCUCA